UUCCUCCAGUCCCUCCCCUCCGCCGCUACAAUCGCCCCUCUUUCUCGCCCCUCUUUGUUCCGCCCCUGCCCCACCGCGAUCAUCCUCCCUUUUAGGGCUAGACUCCGUGUCACGUGCCAAACCGUCCUCUCCGCUGACGUCUCUUCUUCUGCCGAAAUAGAGGAAGAGGAGCAGCUGGCGGCGGCUAAGAUCGGGAAAAGGGUUCGCGUCAUCGUGCCGCUGAAGGUUUACCACAUGCAGAAGGCUCCGGAAAAUCGAGGUCGAAGGGCAACCCCGCCCAAUCAAGUUCAUCUCUCAUCUCAAGGAGGAUGAGUUCGAGUACGUGGAUUGAGCCCGGUAUGUGUCUUUCGGUUUUAAGAUGGAGAUUUCAGAUUCGCGAGAAGGAAGAUGCUUUAGUGUAACUGGCAAAUACUUUAGCUUUAGCUUUAUCAUGAUACAGUGAAAGUAUUAUCCUGUAAAUUGUGAAUUAGGAUGCUGAAAGUGAAAAAUUGAAAAGGUGAGCUACAUGAUGCCGUGAAGUAAGUUUCUAAAUUUUCUCCUUCUUUCCUCUUGGACUGCUAAUAGUAGUUUACUUGUUGUCUGAUUGGAUCCACAUAAUAUGUGUUUUCUAUGACUUACUCCAAUUAUAAGGAUUUGUAGCAACAAACAGAAGCAUAAAAUAAAACAGGAUUUACCAUUUCAAAGAGGCUCAUAAUAUCAUCUUUCACAACUGUUUCAGGAUUCCAUUUAGUUGAAGGAUUAAAAAAACAUGUUGGAUCCUCAGCUAGGCUCUCAACUCCAUGUGUGGUUUCAUUUUUUACUUGAGCAUUUUCGUUGGUACGGUUUUCCAAGGGACUGGUUACAUCUAUCUAGGUUUUGAUUUGAGUCAAAGGUUGCAAUGAAGAUGUUAAAUCCUUAAAUAAAUUCUCUACUCCAUGUGUGUUUUCCUUCUUUACUUCGGCAGACUUUGUGGUAGUAGUCAUGUCCAAGGAACUGGUUAGGUCGGCAGCUGCACAACAAGAAGAGUGCAUGCUAUCCGCAAAAUAGUUCUUAUUGAAUUUGUAUAAUUUUAUAAUUUCUGCUUUUUACUUUAUAGUCAUCCAAGGUAUGAACUCUAGAUCUCAUUGUGUUUUCUAGGCUUCAUCAUAUGACAAUGCUGGAUUCAUGAUUGAUAUGUUAAAGGAGUGUGGAUUAUCUCACAAAUCAAUAAUUUUUGUCUUGGAUGAGUUUGAUCUUUUUGCUCAGGGGAAACAACGUUUACUUUAUAGUUUGCUUGAUGCAAUGCAAACAAUGACUUCACAGGCUGUAGUUAUUGGUGUUAGCUGCCGAUUG